rnacentral:rRNA from 1 species
AGUGAACGCUGGCGGUGGGCCUAACACAUGCAAGUCGAACGGCAGCACAGUAAGAGCUUGCUCUUACGGGUGGCGAGUGGCGGACGGGUGAGGAAUACAUCGGAAUCUACUUUUUCGUGGGGGAUAACGUAGGGAAACUUACGCUAAUACCGCAUACGACCUACGGGUGAAAGCAGGGGAUCUUCGGACCUUGCGCGAUUGAAUGAGCCGAUGUCGGAUUAGCUAGUUGGCGGGGUAAAGGCCCACCAAGGCGACGAUCCGUAGCUGGUCUGAGAGGAUGAUCAGCCACACUGGAACUGAGACACGGUCCAGACUCCUACGGGAGGCAGCAGUGGGGAAUAUUGGACAAAGGGCGCAAGCCUGAUCCAGCCAUACCGCGUGGGUGAAGAAGGCCUUCGGGUUGUAAAGCCCUUUUGUUGGGAAAGAAAAGCAGCAGGUUAAUACCCCGCUGUUCUGACGGUACCCAAAGAAUAAGCACCGGCUAACUUCGUG